UCGAAGGCUCCCUCUAUAUCCAACGACACC
rnacentral:sRNA from 1 species